UAGAGUUUGAUCCUGGCUCAGAUUGAACGCUGGCGGCAUGCUUUACACAUGCAAGUCGAACGGCAGCGCGGGCUUCGGCCUGGCGGCGAGUGGCGAACGGGUGAGUAAUAUAUCGGAACGUACCCAAGAGUGGGGGAUAACGUAGCGAAAGUUACGCUAAUACCGCAUACGAUCCAAGGAUGAAAGCAGGGGACCGCAAGGCCUUGUGCUCCUGGAGCGGCCGAUAUCUGAUUAGCUAGUUGGUGAGGUAAAGGCUCACCAAGGCAACGAUCAGUAGCUGGUCUGAGAGGACGACCAGCCACACUGGAACUGAGACACGGUCCAGACUCCUACGGGAGGCAGCAGUGGGGAAUUUUGGACAAUGGGGGCAACCCUGAUCCAGCAAUGCCGCGUGAGUGAAGAAGGCCUUCGGGUUGUAAAGCUCUUUUGUCAGGGAAGAAAAGGGAGUGGCUAAUAUCCAUUCCUGCUGACGGUACCUGAAGAAUAAGCACCGGCUAACUACGUGCCAGCAGCCGCGGUAAUACGUAGGGUGCAAGCGUUAAUCGGAAUUACUGGGCGUAAAGCGUGCGCAGGCGGUUUCGUAAGUCUGUCGUGAAAUCCCCGGGCUUAACCUGGGAAUGGCGAUGGAGACUGCGAGGCUAGAGUUUGGCAGAGGGGGGUAGAAUUCCACGUGUAGCAGUGAAAUGCGUAGAGAUGUGGAGGAACACCGAUGGCGAAGGCAGCCCCCUGGGUCAAAACUGACGCUCAUG
rnacentral:rRNA from 1 species